AUCUAAUUAGUUUUAAAGAAAAUAUUAAAUUGUGGAUUUAAAGUUAUAGUUUAUUUAUAUUAGGUA
rnacentral:tRNA from 1 species